UCCUGUGUCCAUACCACCCUGAACAACCAAUCUUACCUGAUCUCAAAAGCUAAGCAGGGUCGAGCUUGGUUAGUACUUGGAUGGGAGACCACCUAGGAAUGUUUUUAAAACAUUUU
rnacentral:rRNA from 1 species